AAAAACGAGCCCUGGGAUUCCCAGGAGUAUUAGCCGUUUUCCAGGGUAAAUGGAAGAGUCCCAGUAGGUGCCCUGGAAGCGCGUUUUUCUUCCCAGGGGAUGUCCUGGGUCAAACAUCAAGUCCCAGGGGCUUCCCUGGGACCAGGGUGGCCGCUCCCAGCUCCCAGGUGCUCUCCUGGGAUUAAAUUGACGUUCCCAGGGCAACCCCUGGAAAUCAAUUCUUCCAGGGUGUUUGUUGUGUUUCCCAGACGGGAGAAUGUCGAGGAGUAGCUGAACCAUAAACGCAUUAAAGUACUUUUUCUUCCAAAAAAGUUUCUCUUUUGCUAAAUUAUGUACCGUCUGCAGAGCUUUGCAAAGCAAUACUUGGAUAUCUGCGCCAUCUAUCGGGAUAGAUGGAAACUAGCACCGCGGCCGCACCGCAGCAGCUAGGCUGUGUCGUCUAACCUCCUAUCGACAGCUGUCUUCGCUGUGGUGAAGUGUUAAGAUGCAUUUUAAAAUCAAGAGCUGUCAAAAGUUUGGAGAACUAUUUCCUUGCGUAGCUCGCAGCUGACGACGGUGGCGAUCGCCAAUGCUAGAACGACGCGUUUAUGUUUUGACACAAUGCUGUGAUGAAAAUAUCUCAGAAGGACUCGAUCGAGCUACUCCCUCUUAGCUGUCACUUCCCUACUCAGCAGUGUUGGCUACAGUUCAACAAGACCCAAGAGUGACAUGAAUGAAGAAACUAUUCAGUUUUCAGUUCUUACUUUUCUCAAGAUGUUGAUGUCCCUGCUCAGCAAAACAAUUGUCAAUGGAAACGUUUGCUGAGCUGGGUGAUGACUCCCCGCCCAGUUCCUAUACUUGCAAGCGGAUAUAAUGGCUGUAAAAGAGAUAAAAUAUUAUGAAGAACUGCAACUACAACUGUGUAAUUUUUCUUUAUGAGAGGAUGAUGGAGUUUGGUAUGAUGUGACAACUGAUUUUUAAGUGUGCUGAGGUAAUCUUCUAUAACAAAUUGUAGUGACAUUUUUAGUUCACAAACCGUGAUAACUUUGACACCUGUAUUAGAGUCCAACUCUUGUGUCUGUAAUUUAACUCAUCAAAUAUUUUUUUAUAAACAAUAAUACCAGCAAAGUAGUUUCUUUUUACUUUUCAGACUUCGGUGUUUUCCUUUAGCAAAGGUUUGCAUUUUAAAAUCGAUUUUUGUAUGUAUUUUGAUCCAUAUGUUUUCACAGAAACAAUUGUCAUUGGAAACGUUUGCUGAGCUGGGUGAUGACUCCCCGUCCAGUUCCUAUACUUGCAAGCGGAUAUAAAAUGGCUGUAUAAGAGAUAAAAUAUUAUGAAGAACUGCAACUACAACUGUGUAAUUUUUGUUUGAGAGGAUGAUGGAUGGAGUUUGGUAUGGUGUGACAA